UACAGAGGUCUCAAGCGUUGUUCGGAUUCAUUGGGCGUAAAGGGUGCGUAGGUGGCGCCGUAAGUCGGGGUGUGAAAUUUCGGAGCUUAACUCCGAAACUGCAUUCGAUACUGCGGUGCUUGAGGACUGGAGAGGAGACUGGAAUUCAUGGUGUAGCAGUGAAAUGCGCAGAUAUCAGGAAGAACACCCGUGGCUAAGGCGGUUCUCUAGUACGGUACUGACGCUGAGACGCGAAAGCGUGGGGAGCGAACAGG
rnacentral:rRNA from 1 species